ACGAACCAGACCCUCCGGAUUUUUCGCUCCGGACGAUUACCUCCCCCCACCCCCUGGAAAUUCCUGGGCGUUUGACUCCCCCGGAUGACACCAUACUCUCUUGUUCUAAAAUAAUAGCAGCUACUUCCCGAGGUAGCUGACACUAUCGAAAAUUGUCAACAAGAGUCUUCUCCUGAAACGCACGGUGUUGCAUCCAAGCAUAAUGUGUCAGGCCGUUCGAUGAGCUAUUUCGAUCGAGAAGCCUGUCUCCAAAGCGUCGCCAAAAGCCCAUUUCUUAUCCUUUAUGCUUGCGUCUAUACUUCCCCAAUAAUUCUGGAUAUGAGAGCUCAUUAACGUGAUGAUAAUAAACGUCGCGACUUCAUCAUCAGGAAACGACCAGAACCACAAAACACCAUCUCGCGUCCUUGGUAUAUUAAGGGCAGUGUUUUACUUCAAUCUAAGUGACGACCGUUUAUAUCAAAAAGACAAAAGGCUGAAAGAUAGACCCAUUAGCAUCGCAGGAUAUAAGCGGAUCACAUUGUGCAUAGACAUUCAAAGUCAGGAUGAGGUUUCAAGUGACCAUCGCUCUGUUGAUUCUCGCCAUGGUAGCGCGCGCUCAAGGUGUAAGCGAAGGUGACAGCAGGCUGGGUGACAUGUUGCACAAUAGGUUUAUGGCUACUUCAGGUUGUGUCAGGUGGAGCAGAAGAAAAGGCUGUGUGGUGCAAUUUGCCGAGAAACGAGCCAAGACGAUACAAAACCGUCAUCUUGCAAUCAAGGAGGCCUUGAAAUAUCUUCUAUCACAUGACGGAGAUGAUCAAGUUCGCGUUUAAUAAUAUGUAACAAUAGGCUUAGAAAAUAUGUAGUAUAUAAGAUAUUUUGCUAAUAAACAAAUUGAACGAAAU